rnacentral:rRNA from 1 species
UACGAAGGGGGCUAGCGUUGCUCGGAAUCACUGGGCGUAAAGGGUGCGUAGGCGGGUCUUUUAAGUCAGGGGUGAAAUCCUGGAGCUCAACUCCAGAACUGCCUUUGAUACUGAAGAUCUUGAAUUCGGGAGAGGUGAGUGGAACUGCGAGUGUAGAGGUGAAAUUCGUAGAUAUUCGCAAGAACACCAGUGGCGAAGGCGGCUCACUGGCCCGAUACUGACGCUGAGGCACGAAAGCGUGGGGAGCAAACAGG